rnacentral:lncRNA from 1 species
AAAAAAAAAUCCUUUUUUGUAUCACUUUUGUGUAAUGAUUAGUAAAUGUCAUCCAAGUCCUGUUAUGGAUAAAGCUGCCAAAUGCUCACUGGCAUCUUAGCUGCAGAAACAGGCCGGAACGCGCUAGCUAAGUGCUCCUCUUUAUCUAUGGCUCUGUGUUACUGUUUCUCCAUACUGUGUCUGUAUUUAAUCGUUUUCUUCUUUUUUUUAUGAAACUUGUUGCGCCUAUUUAUGAAAUAAUAAAUAUAGGUGUUUGUAAGUAAAUUUGUUAGUAUUUGAAAGAGGUUUCAUUGAUGUUUUAAUUUUUGCUGGCAAAAAAAAAAAAAAAAAUCCAUGCUUGGUGUGAGUACUUAUUUAGUUUUUACAGUGACAUGAAUAAAACCAAAUCUGCUUUUCAUUUAGUAGCAAACUAGAGGAACGAAUCUGUAUUUUUGCAUAUCUUUUGUUGACAUAAAUGAAAAACAAUUCUACUUAGCAAUCUUCUUUUCCUGAGCAACACAACAGAAAACUGCUCCUGAGGUGCCACCCUUGCCAGGCCUAAGCAAACACCAGUGCAUCCUCUUCCUAAAGAGAUAAAAAGAGCUGUUUCUCACUUCUCAGUUCCAAAACAGUUGCCACCCCCCACCCCAACCCCCACCCCCCCAACCCCAACCCCCCCCCCCACACACACACACAAAUGCUAAGAACCAAAUUCAAGUUGAGUCACCCAGAAUCCCAAAAGUCACAUGCUUCUCAUGGCAUGCAGAAAACAUUUAAGAAUUGACCAAGGGUUCAGGAAGAGAUCAAAGGGGAUAUGGUGUCUAGAAUCAAUCUAGAAAUGAAGGGCUAGUAGUCAGACCAGCUCAAGAAAUAGGAAAAUCAUGGGAAGUGGACGCAGUUGCUAGAAACUGAGCACCCUGCUAUCCCCCGUCUCUGCUCUCUUCCUUUUCCACAAAUCCUGGGUCACCACUAGCGAUGUGCCAGUAGGGCUUUGCAUAGCUCUGAUAGCAGAAGGAAGGGGUGAGGAAAGGUCCCCUUCCACAGACUUCGGUCACAUAAAUUCAUCUGGCUAGACAUGAAGAGAAUGGUGGUUUUGUGGAAUGUAUGAAAUAACCUUAGCAAUUUAAAUACAUCAUGUAAUCCAGUCAAAAUUGAAAAGACAAAAGGCUUGCUUGCUUUGGAUUGAUUUUCAGACACUGUACAACGUUGAAUCACUCGGCAUGUAAUAACUAAUAAAUAAUGCAGAUCCGGUGUUAUUAUUAAAAUGACGGGGGUUGAGAGCUCAAACUUUACUGUCUUGAUACUGUAUAAGAAUUCAUGUGAUUAACUUCCCAGUUUAUUGUUUGGCUGUUUAGUAUUUUAGAAAUAUACCAGCACUACUAA